rnacentral:rRNA from 1 species
GGUGAACGCUGGCGGCGUGCUUAAGACAUGCGAGUCGAGCGGCAGUCCUCGGACUGUAGUGGCGCACGGGUGAGUAACGCGUAACUGACCUACCCCAAAGUCGCGGAUAACGAUUCGAAAGAAUCGCUAAUACGUGAUGUGCUGUCAGAUUGUGUUCUGCCAGUAAAGAUUGAUUGCUUUGGGAUGGGGUUGCGUUCCAUCAGCUAGUUGGUGGGGUAAAGGCCCACCAAGGCGACGACGGAUAGCCGGCCUGAGAGGGUGGCCGGUCACAGGGGCAAUGAGACACGGGUCCCACUCCUACGGGAGGCAGCAGUUAGGAAUCUUCCACAAUGGGCGAAAGCCUGAUGGAGCGACGCCGCGUGAGGGAUGAAGGUCUUCGGAUCGUAAACCUCUGAAUCAGGGAUGAAAGACACUUCGGUGGGAUGACGGUACCUGAGUAAUAGCACCGGCUAACUCCGUGCCAGCCGCCGCCGUAACAC